AGAGAACAAAGAACAGAGGAGGGCUAACCCUGCGGAAUCUGGUGUGGAGACCUGCAUUACCCUCCUGCAUUUCCCUCCUCUCUGCUCCUCACUGUGAAAGAGCCUGGCCAGCUCCAUGCUGAGAAGAUGAUGCCACAGAGGCAGCUUUGGGCAAAUCUUUCCCUUUUUCUCCAAACUCAUGGCCUCCUCUAAUUUCAUCAACCUUAAGCAGAGAAACCUAAGCCUAUGGACCUAAGAGUGUACAUAGGCAGCCUAAAAAGAUUCCCCCUUUUGCUGUGAAAAGGAAAAAGGCUGCUGGGGAGGGGGAGAUUUGUGCCUGUUUUCCUGCUGGGAAGUUCUCCCCAGAAUCCACUGGCCCCACGGCUUGGAUUUACUCCAAGGUCAUUCCUGCAGCAAGGUGGCUUUAAAGGACUCAAAGCAGAGGCCCCGCUCUGGACAGCAGGCAGGUGGUGUGACACCUGAGGCCUCAGGACACAGGCUGAAAUCAGAAAGGGAACUGUAAGUGGCACCGGAAAUUAAAAUUUUAAAUGUUUCACUUUGUUUCCUUUAGUGAGAAG
rnacentral:lncRNA from 1 species